rnacentral:rRNA from 1 species
GGGGAAUAUUGGGCAAUGGACGCAAGUCUGACCCAGCAACGCCGCGUGAAGGAAGAAGGCUUUCGGGUUGUAAACUUCUUUUAAGAGGGAAGAGCAGAAGACGGUACCUCUUGAAUAAGCCACGGCUAACUAC